rnacentral:rRNA from 1 species
GACGAACGCUGGCGGCGUGCUUAACACAUGCAAGUCGAACGGAAAGGCCCUGCUUUUGUUGGGUUCUCGAGUGGCGAACGGGUGAGUAACACGUGAGUAACCUGCCCUUGACUUUGUGAUAACUUCAGGAAACUGGGGCUAAUAUCGGAUAGGAUCUCCUGCUGCAUGUUGGGGGUUGGAAAGUUUCGGCUGUUGGGGAUGGACUCGCGGCUUAUCAGCUUGUUGGUGGGGUAGUGGCUUACCAAGGCUUUGACGGGUAGCCGGCCUGAGAGGGUGACCGGCGACAUUGGGACUGAGAUACGGCCCAGACUCCUACGGGAGGCAGCAGUGGGGAAUAUUGCACAAUGGGCGGAAGCCUGAUGCAGAAACGCCGCGUGCGGGAUGACGGCCUUCGGGUUGUAAACCGCUUUCGCCUGUGACGAAGCGUGAGUGACGGUAAUGGGUAAAGAAGCACCGGCUAACUACGUG